rnacentral:misc_RNA from 1 species
AACUUAUGUGAAUUCUUAUGGAGCUGGGAAUGGAAGAUCAGGCUUGGGGACUGCAUCUGAACAAAGAAGGGGCUAUUUUGAGACAGAAAGGGUUAGUAUUAAUAAUAAGCCCAACAGCAAGAGAGAAUUGCUACCUGUUGAGCUCCGAAACAUGUUGAUGGAGAAGGCACGAAUGGAUAUUUGUAAAAAGCUUGAGGAAUGGAGCUCAAAUCAAGUAAAACUGAAAGAGGACAAAAAACAGAAAAUUAUGGUAAGGAAUGAUGCAAAUAAUCAUAAGAAGCAUGAUAACUAUACUAUUAUGAAUGAUGCAAAAGAAAGCAAGAAGUCUUUCCGGGGUUUUUCUUCUGACGAUUCCAUUAAAGAUGCCCCUGCACCAAUGUCAAUUAAUGUUCCAGACCCUGAUUUUCACAAUUUUGAUUUGGAUCGAACUGAAAGUGCUUUUAGUGAUGACCAGGUUUGGGCUGCCUAUGAUGAAGAUGAUGGAAUGCCUCG